UUUUGAUGAUAUUGUUUGUUUUAUUUUUGGUUUU
rnacentral:sRNA from 1 species